GGAUCCGGCUGAGGAUGGGUCGGACUUUGGGUUUUCUAUUAAACACGCUUCUUCCCUUGCACAAACCCUAAUUUUGAUAUCCAUACUUCUAGCCGUUUCACUCCGAAUCUCAAUGAAGACAUCAGUCAUUCAUCAUCGCGAACCCUAAUCGCAUCAACAAUCAUCGAGCAUGAGCAUAUUCUGGUGUAAGUUAUUGAUUCUUGGAAUGAAACAUCUCAUCAACUUCAUCAUUCGUCCACCAGGAUCGAAGAUUAAAGAUCCGGCUUUUUUUUCCAUUAAUCGUCGGUUUCAUUUGAAUCCUAAACUGAUGGUUUUGUGGGGAUACCGCAUAAGGCGGCGAUAGAGGUGGAGUUGUUUGUCGGCGGUGGUUUAGCGUCAUCUAGGGUUCCAAUAGACAAGACUAAUAAAGUGAGGGACGAAGUCACCGAAGACAUUCUAUACGACAAGCAAUAUCAAUUAUGUUUGAAAGAAAUCCAAAACUAAGGUUGGAGGGGCUUCCUUGCAAGGUGUUACAGUGGUACUUGUGUAGAAUGGAAGGUUGGUUUGCUGCAAAUGCUAAAACUAUCUCUCUUAAAUGCUCGGACAAGGCAUGUUUUCUAAACUUCCGUUAUAUUUAUAAUAAACACAACAUUAUUAUUUUAAAUUUUGUGAUCGGAUAGUCGUUAUUUUACAUAUAAUGUGAAAAUGCUGCUGAUAUAACCACAUAUUUUGUUAUAUAUGUAAAAAUCUUGAAUUUGUAGGUUUGACUAAAAAACGUUGAAAUUUCAAAUUUUUUUACAACAGCAUAUUCUACUCCUGUAUUUUUGAUAUGCAGGUAGAGUUCUUUAGCAUUGAUCGCAAAGAAAAUCGCGAGUUUCACUCGGGAUUAAAAUUUCCAUCUGCUAUCAUUAUAAAAUGCAAUCUCAGUAACAAAGGUGAGUUGUAUUAUUUAUUAUGGAACUUAUGAAUGGGCCAAUUUUGUUUAUGUUUUAUCUCUCAUGAGUCAAAUGGGCAAGAUUAUAAAAAAUAGUGAUAGCAAAAUGGGUCAAGUGGGUUGAAAGUCGGCCAACGUGCUUUUAUCUAGAGGUGUACAAAAAAAGGGGUUGGGUCCAACCUGACCCGAUGAUUUGGUAUAGGUUUGGGUUUUUGUGUUAAAAAUCAGUUCCAACCUGAAUCAGUUUGAACCCGCCUAAAAACACUGGUUUAAACGCUAAAAGCGGUGCUGAUCCCAAUCCUAAUCGGUUUGGGCCGGUUGGUGUUUUCAACCCUAAAACCGAUUAUAACUCGAACCGGUUUGGAAAAUUGGUUUUACACCAAACAAAAAUAAACAAAAAUAUUUACAAACUGAACCGGUUUGGAUCCAAACCGGAUUUUGUAUGCCUAUACUUUUAAUGGAUUCAACCUUUUAAAUCAUUUUUUUAAUGGAUCCACACCAACUUUGAUUUGCUACUUAAAUGAUCUCUUUUUGACCAUGCAUUUGCUUAUUAAUAAUGUUUCAGUUUGGAUUAUGCAAUAUCAUUAACACUUCAAAUGGGUACAAUAUAGUUACGUGUUGAAUGAUUUGGAUUAACUCUCAAAUUAUUGCAUAUAAAGUCAUAUUAUUGUUGUAAUACUAUAGUCUUUAUUAUCAUUUCUCAUACUUAUUUGAGAAGAAAAAAAAUAUAACAAAUAGUAUUGUUGGUUAAAACAACAUAAUGCAUUCUGACUUUCUAUCAAAUUAAACAAUUUUGACUGAACCUUUUACUUACAAAUGGAUCAUUUUGGGUUAUAUUUGAUUUUUAACAGGUCUAAAGAGUGAGAUAAAAUAUAGAUUAUUAUUAUAAAGAUAGUUUUUGUGAUUAUAUCAAGCACCAAGUAUUUUAGUAAAAUGAAUUGGACAUAAAAUUGUUGUGGGUUAACUUAGUUUGGCCUAUUUUAUCUUGCAAUCAAAAUUACCCAUUUUGAUCACCUUUUACUCAACUUGCCUGAUCCUUUUGCUGAUAUUUGUUUUAAUAAAACAAGAGAAGUGGCUGCUGCAUUUGAGAAACAUACGAAAGUGUAUGGUGGUUUGGAUAUUUGUAUUAUUUGUCUGGAUACUGUUAGGUACCGAGGCAAGUAUGGUCACAGGUAUGCAUAUGGACUAAUAUUCUGAUGUUCCCAAAACUGCAUUUCUUUGGACGGUGUGGUGGCACAUUUCGAGAGUAAUAGGACGUCUAAGGAGGGAAAGAAGGUGAUGAACUUAAUUGUUAUAUGGCAGCACAGGUUCGAUCCUUCACCCGAACCAUUUCCCCCCUCUAUUUUGGUGCUUUUCGAUGGCUGUUUGGUGAAGGAACCCUAACGUCGUCGACGAUUACCUGGCCAGAAACCCGAUAGGGUCCAACCACUCUCUCUUUCGUUACAGAUCAUCGGUAACCAAUUUUGGCUUUGAAUGUGACUUUUUAUAUGGGUUUAGGGUUAUAUCUCUACUCUUGUGAAGAUUCUUUUAAAACUCUUGAUUCGGUCUUGUGAAAUCAGUGGUGACUUUGGCCACUGUGGAGGCAUAAGUGUUGUUUUAAAUCUAGAUUUGAUGUGUUUAUAUUAAAAUUAUGUGUUAACUAAUGUUAGAAAUGCAAGCUAAGUUGGAUAUGGACUAAGGUGCAGUUGUGGAAUCCUCAAGCAGAGGAUCUCUAAAGGACAAGAAGAGAUGUUAUGUUAGAAGAUUGGCUAAAGUCCCUGGGAGGUUGUCUGGUCAGGCACGAUUUGGCGUUUCCAGUUAGAUGCAUUGGCCAUGUCUGCACAGGAUCGUUCGUACAUACAUACUUCAGAAUUUGACCUUUGCCGCGGCUAUUAUCGUGAGUCCAUUUAAGGAAAACAACGGUGUGACGUCAACAUAAGGAAAAGUAAAGGGGAUUACUGGUUAUGGUUUACAACCGUGUUGGUGGUUGGGGUGAAGCUGCCAUCAGCCGUGGUGGAAACCGGUCAUGGCUGGGGGUUUGGCUGGAUUCCGAUCUGGUACGAAGAGGGAGAACCGUAAAGCAUCCAUCUUCCUCAAAUUCAGGAGAAGUUUAUCUAUUAACAUAAAUGUAAGGGUGAAGAUGGUGACUCCCGAAAGGUUAUUCUGAAAGGAAUGCGUUACAGAGAAGUUGAACGAAGAAUCGUCUCACAACUUUUGACUCUGAUGGACGGGUUGAAAUCCCAUGCUCACGUUAUUGUUAUGGGUGCAACCAACUGUCCCAACCUCAUUGACCCAGCUCUGAGAUGAUUCGGCAGGUUUGACCGUGAAAUCGAUAUCGGUGUUCCCGAUGAAGUCGGUCGGCUCGAGGUGCUCCGCAUUCAUACCAAGAACAUGAAGCUGGCUGAAGAUGCGGGACUUGGAGAAGAUUUCGAAAGAGACACGUGGAUAUGUCAAUGCUGAAUUUCUUUUAUGGAGCAUAUGAGGAGUCUACAGAACAUCUUUUAGUAUCGUGUGGGAUGACGCAAACUAUUUGGGACUUUAUUUAUACAUGGUACAUGCUUUAUAGCUUCUUUUUCUUUGAAUUCGAGGACCAGUUGAAGUUUUAUAAGCAAGCGAGAGGCUCUGUGAAGUGGAGAAAGGUUGUCUACUCCAUUAUUCUAACGGUCGUGUGGUGCAUUUGGCGAAGUCAAGACAAUAUUAUCUUCAACCGUAAACAACCUAAGGUGGAGAGUUUAAAGUAGGAAAUUAGAGUUUUGGCAUACCUAUGGGUUAAACAUUAGUCAGAAUCCGUUGGUUUAUCAUGGGAAAUCUGGCAAAAUUUCGUGUUAAUUUUUUUGGGUCUAUGAUGUAGUUUGUUAUCUGGUUGUUUUUGGAUGUGGAUUAGCAUUAAUCUGUUUUUUAAUAAAAUUUGAUUUGUUGGCUGUUUAAAAAA